UGGUAGAAGGUGUGGAUGAAGAGUCACGUGACUCAAUGACAUUUAAAAGCUGCAUUUAGGAACCAAUAUUGCAACUUAAUAAUCAAAGCCCAAAAGAGGCCAUGCCGCUCCAUACGAGAAAAAUGUCUACCCAAGGAGUAACCACUCCCCCACAGAAAAAAGUUCACCUCCAGGCCUCGAUUCCACUUGCUUAGGCUAGAGAACCAACUGGGUGCCCUAGCAAACAGCCUUACAGAACCCCACCUCAUUGUACCAAGAGUCCUGACCUUCCAAGCCUCAUCCUGUGCCCGUUAUUCACUAUGAGAUCUGAAACCGAUGAUCCAGCUGAUGGCAGGGUCAGUGGACCACAGCGGGCAGCCAGCUGGGUUACACUCGCUGAACAGAGAGUUGCGUACAACAAAGACCACGAUCGAUGCCACAGCUGCCAUAGAGGCUCUUCCCAUUACCUGGUAUGACUCGGGCAAACUGCAGCUGGCCAGGUCUCCUUUCCAGGAACUGGCGAAUGCCGUCACCAGGGGCACCCCCACCCUCCGCAACCUAGAUGCUACAAACCAAUAGGCUCCUUGGUUACUGCUUCUGGGUGAGGUGGGUCACUGUGCCGCUCUGCCAACUGAGGAAACUCCACCGCUCAAAAGGCAGAGGCUGUUCUGAAUGCAUCAUUUGAAUCAGAAGACUAGCUGCUGCCAGGACUCGGCUUCACUGGCCAUGCUCCCUCCUUUUCAGGCCAAAAAGCACUCCUCAGCUGGCACUUUCCUCAUGCGGAAAGCUAAGUACAGGCGGUGUGACAGCCUGCCUGGUGCAAAGAUUGCCAGGGCCUCAAGACCGGCUCACCCGGCUACUUACACUCUGAGGCCUCCUAGCUCUCCUGUCAGAAAUACCCAGAAAAUUACUAGGGCAGGGGUGAGCUGACCAAGGUUUGGCAUGCACAGUUUUUGAAAGGACCCUGAUGGGAUUCUGGCCACACCCAAUCCCCACGGAGGCCCUAGGACCGGGAGUGUACCGCCGUACAACAGAGCCACGCUAACUCCAGUCCCCAGCCCACGCAUCCGUCCUGCAUCUGUCCAGCCAUCCCAUGGGUGCCAGGCCUAGAACUCAAGCCUCCAGGACGAACCAUCUGAGGAAGUUCCUCCACUGCGCUGGCUCUGCUAUACUACUGAGCCAGGGCUUCGGCCUGCCAUGGAGCCACUUGGGGGGUCUCUGCUACCUUCCCCACAGCCAUGCCAUGCCCUAGGAAACAGAGGGCUCAACUUACCUGCGCUGCCCAGAGGUAGUCCAGUCGAAGUCUGACGUCCACUUGCCUGGCAUGCAGGGCCAGCGUACACGAGAACAGCAGAAUAGCCAUGAUUGGCUCAUAGCUGCGCCCAGACAGGGCACCACCCCUGAGGAGGUGGAGGAGAAAGAAAUCCCAUCAGACUCGGCUUCCAGGCAAGACAUGGCCAUCAAACCCUGGGUCUGGGCAGGGAGCCAUCUCUGGGGUGGUAAGGCCUACAAACAACUCAGGGCCUGACUGCAGGCCUGACUCUCAUUUCAGCUAGAAGUUAAAAGACUCUGCUAGAGUCCAGGCUAAAGAAGAGAAAUGGAAAAGCCACCAAACUAGAAUAAAAUUGUAUACAUUUGGUUUGCA